GACGAACGCUGGCGGCGUGCUUAACACAUGCAAGUCGAACGGAAAGGCCCUGCUUUUGUGGGGUGCUCGAGUGGCGAACGGGUGAGUAACGCGUGAGUAACCUGCCCUUGACUUUGGGAUAACUUCAGGAAACUGGGGCUAAUACCGGAUAGGAGCUCCUGCUGCAUGGUGGGGGUUGGAAAGUUUCGGCGGUUGGGGAUGGACUCGCGGCUUAUCAGCUUGUUGGUGGGGUAGUGGCUUACCAAGGCUUUGACGGGUAGCCGGCCUGAGAGGGUGACCGGCCACAUUGGGACUGAGAUACGGCCCAGACUCCUACGGGAGGCAGCAGUGGGGAAUAUUGCACAAUGGGCGGAAGCCUGAUGCAGCAACGCCGCGUGCGGGAUGACGGCCUUCGGGAUGUAAACCGCUUUCGCCUGUGACGAAGCGUGAGUGACGGUAAUGGGUAAAGAAGCACCGGCUAACUACGUG
rnacentral:rRNA from 1 species